rnacentral:lncRNA from 1 species
GAACAGUCUCCACACUACAUCCUAAAUAGGCAAAGUUGGGUUAAAUGUUCUACAGUCCUCAGCUUCUCGGACCCCAAAACAGAGAAAGUAAUGCCUAUCCACAAAUAACUUGUGUGACAUCAGUAACUCCAAAAGGGUAUCCACUGAGUAGAUGGGUCUCAAGCCAACUUGUUAAGGACUACUCCACACAAGUUGAAUAUGACCAAUUUGAGUUUUG